rnacentral:rRNA from 1 species
CCUACGGGUGGCAGCAGUGGGGAAUAUUGGACAAUGGGCGAAAGCCUGAUCCAGCAAUGCCGCGUGAGUGAUGAAGGCCUUAGGGUUGUAAAGCUCUUUUACCAGGGAUGAUAAUGACAGUACCUGGAGAAUAAGCUCCGGCUAACUCCGUGCCAGCAGCCGCGGUAAUACGGAGGGAGCUAGCGUUGUUCGGAAUUACUGGGCGUAAAGCGUGCGUAGGCGGUGACUCAAGUCAGAGGUGAAAGCCUGGAGCUCAACUCCAGAACUGCCUUUGAAACUAGGUCGCUAGAAUCUGGGAGAGGUGAGUGGAAUUCCGAGUGUAGAGGUGAAAUUCGUAGAUAUUCGGAAGAACACCAGUGGCGAAGGCGGCUCACUGGACCAGAAUUGACGCUGAGGCACGAAAGCGUGGGGAGCAAACAGGAUUAGAUACCCUGGUAGUC